rnacentral:rRNA from 1 species
AUUGAACGCUGGCGGCAUGCUUUACACAUGCAAGUCGAACGGUAACAGGCCUUCGGGUGCUGACGAGUGGCGAACGGGUGAGUAAUGCAUCGGAACGUACCCAGAGGUGGGGGAUAACGCAGCGAAAGCUGUGCUAAUACCGCAUGUGAUCUGAGGAUGAAAGCGGGGGACCGAGCAGCAAUGUUUGGCCUCGCGCCUUUGUAGCGGCCGAUGUCGGAUUAGCUAGUUGGUGGGGUAAAGGCCUACCAAGGCGACGAUGCGUAGCCGGGCUGAGAGGACGAGCAGCCACACUGGGACUGAGACACGGCCCAGACUCCUACGGGAGGCAGCAGUGGGGAAUUUUGGACAAAGGGCGAAAGCCUGAUCCAGCAAUGCCGCGUGCGGGAAGAAGGCCUUCGGGUUGUAAACCGCUUUUGGCAGGAACGAAACGGUGUCCGCUAAUACCGGGCGCUAAUGACGGUACCUGCAGAAUAAGCACCGGCUAACUACGUG